rnacentral:rRNA from 1 species
AUCAGGAAUCUUGCACAAUGAGCGAAAGCUAGAUGCAGCGACGCCGCGUGGGUGAUGAAGUCUUUCGGGAUGUAAAGCCCUUUUAAACGGGAAGAUGAUGACGGUACCGUUUGAAUAAGCCCCGGCUAACUACGUGCCAGCAGCCGCGGUAAUACGUAGGGGGCGAGCGUUGUCCGGAAUUACUGGGCGUAAAGGGCGCCUAGGCGGUUUUCUAAGUCCGCUGUGAAAGACCGAGGCUCAACCUCGGGGUGUCAGCGGAGACUGGAAGACUGGAGUGUCGGAGAGGAGUGCGGAAUUCCUGGUGUAGCGGUGGAAUGCGUAGAGAUCAGGAGGAACACCGAUGGCGAAGGCAGCACUCUGGCCGAAGGGGAAACCCUUAAAACUGACGCUGAAGCGCGAAAGCUGGGGGAGCGAACGG